AUUGAACGCUGGCGGCAGGCCUAACACAUGCAAGUCGAACGAGUGGCGGACGGGUGAGUAAUGUCUGGGAAACUGCCUGAUGGCGGGGGAUAACUACUGGAAACGGUAGCUAAUACCGCAUACCAUCGGAUGUGCCCAGAUGGGAUUAGCUAGUAGGUGGGGUAAAGGCUCACCUAGGCGACGAUCCCUAGCUGGUCUGAGAGGAUGACCAGCCACACUGGAACGGAGACACGGUCCAGACUCCUACGGGAGGCAGCAGUUGGGAAUAUUGCACAAUGGGCGCAAGCCUGAUGCAGCCAUGCCGCGUGUAUGAAGAAGGCCUUCGGGUUGUAAAGUACUUUUAGCGGGGAGGCGUUAUCCGCAGAAGAAGCACCGGCUAACUCCGUGCCAGCAGCCGCGGUAAUUC
rnacentral:rRNA from 1 species